rnacentral:rRNA from 1 species
ACCCUGCACUUACAAGCUGUGGAAGCACAUUUCUUGUGUGACCGCGGACUUUUUGUAGAACGGGCCAACGAGUUACGUUAAGUAGCAAGGUUAAGCACUUAAGGUGCGCGGCCGUAGCGAAAGCGAGGUUUAACUGAGCGUUCAAUUACUUGACGUAGAACCGAAACCGGGCGACCUCCGCAUGUGCAGGAUGAAGCGAAAGUAAAAAUUCGUGGAGGUCCGAACCCACGAGCG